UCUACAUAAGCACUGACCUAGGAUGAUGUAAAUUUGGUUCGUGAUAUUUCCUAGUUUUAUUUUUAAAAAAUACAUGCAAUACAUUAGAUUAAUAUACAAAGUUGGUUUCGCUGGGGUUUUUGUUGGUGUUGGUGGCACUGAUGCCGUGAUGGUCUUCCUUCGGUGCCGCUUGUGGUAUUCUGGUAUUUUGGUCACAUUAGGUGAAAAUGUGUGGUUCAAUAGAUAUCGCCAUUAAAAGCGACACAAAAACAUAAUAUACUGUAAUGAGAUGAGAAGCUGUUUAGUUUAAAACUGUUACAGAUACCCUUCUGCUCCGAUUGAUUGGUUGUAUACAUCUAUCUAUGCUGGAUCUAGAACAUCGAUCGCUUCAACCAACACUGGCAGAUAAUAAAUAGUUAGCGAUACUAUUUGAGAUGAAUGGACUUUCUCAAGCGAACAUUAAGUCUAUUAAUAUGAAUAAUGCAAACGCGGUUUACCACUGGGUUAUGUACGAAUAAUUUCGAUCAUCUCGGUAAUAUAAUUCAACAUUUUGUAUUAUAUUGCUGCACAUUAUAUUUCUAGAAUAUGAUAUUGGUAUCGUUAAUGUUUUAUACAAGUCGACAAACUAUACAAAGCCUGCAGCUAAACAAAAUCUACAGUGAAUCAUUAUUCCGUGAAUACUAUCAGUAAUUUCAAUUAAAAACCAUACUUUUUAAUGAUGCAGUGCGCAGAUAAUAUGGGUGUACUAUUAAAGAUGCAUCAUGUGAUAUUUAGAUAAAGAGAUGUUCGUUCUUACUAUAAUAGUUCGAAAACAGAUAAUGAAAAAUGAAUAUAUUGAAAAUAUCAGUCAAAUUAACGGGAUUGCCAGUCAGGUUGCUUCAUAUAUAUAUAAGUGUCUCCAAGAAAGAGAAUCAGAGUUACCUGUUAACCAACACCCAAGUUCAAUAUAAUAUGUUUAUUAUACUAAUACUUACGGUAGAAGUAGUUUGUUUAUUUUUCAGGCUAGUUUAGAUAAUUUUCGUUUUAGCUCUAUACUGAUUCUCAUUAUACCGACCAUCUUUUAAUGCUUAUAGACUUGUUAUAUCACAUUGUACAUCCAUAAAGGAUCACCCCAGAUGUUAUGUUAUAAUUGUAUGAUCAACUGUGUAUGCUGUCCUUGGUGGAUGUAAUGAUACAAUAAAAUCUUAUCUUAUCUUAA